AUGGAGGAAACUGCUGUUGUGGUCGCCGCCGGGGAAGCUCCAGCGUCAAGCACGGGCUUCGACUGGAGCAAGCUUCCUGCGGACCUGCUCCUUCGUAUCUUCGGCAGCCUGCAGAUCCGGGAUCUCUUCAGCUCCGGCGGCGUCUGCUCUUCAUGGCGCCGCAGCCACCUGGAAGCCCGCCGGCUCCGGCUUUUGUGCUCGCCGCACCACAGCCCCUGCCUGGUCUACUCCGCGGCGGACCGCGACGACGGCAUGGCCACACUGCACCACCUGUGCAAGGACAAGCUCUACCACUUCACCAUCCCAGGCCCUGCCUUUCGCUCCCGCUACGUCAUGGGCUCCUCCCACGGCUGGCUCAUCACCGCCGACGACCGCUCCCAUCUCAUCCUUGUCAACCCCAUAACCGGCGCUCAGGUCGCCAUGCCGCCACCGGAAACCAUGCACAACGUCAAGCUCCGUUAUGGCGAGGAAGGCCGCAGACUGGAUGGCUACGAUCUUAUUUAUGCUGACACGGUGCCGCACCGGAAGAUAGAGCCAUAUCCACUUUCACUGGAGCAAGGUCGCUUUUGCUUCUACAUGGUUGUAGCCAUGUCGUGCGACCCGUCCAGUAAAAACUGCGUCGUGGUACGCGUACACAUGCCUAAGAACCUGCUCUCCUAUGCUAGGGUUGGGGACACCAAGUGGACUUGGGUUGAUACCCAUGAGGAAUGCAAGAGCUACGUUGAUGUUUGUUAUAAUAGCGGCGAUGGUUUGUUCUAUGCUCUUCGAGGUUGCGGUGAUGUGCAUACCAUUGAUCUCCGUGGACCGUCUGCAGUGGUGAAUAUUGUCUACAAGCACAAGGCAUGUUACUAUACUGAUAGUAAGUAUAUUGUACAAGCACCAUGGGGCGAUUUCUUUCAGAUAUGGAGAUGGGAUCGAUAUCAGGACGAAGAGAAAGAGCGUGUGACAGCCCGCUUUGUUGUCUACAAAAUUGACUUUGUCAAACAAAAGCUCACCAGAGUACACAAUCUCAAAGACCACACGCUGUUCAUGGGUGUCAACACUUCGUUUUUAGUUCCGGCGAAGGACUUUCCCACACUAAUACCCAAUAGCAUCUACCAUACAGAUGACUUGAAUCAUAAUACUUUCUCCAAGAGAUUGGGCCUUCGGCAGGUUUUUAUCUUCAAUAUGGAAGAUAGUAGUUUCACGAAUAUACUAGCUCCUGUUUCUUCAAGAUUGAAUUGGCCCCCAUCGGUUUGGAUCCUGUCAUAA
rnacentral:rRNA from 1 species